rnacentral:rRNA from 1 species
UACGUAGGGUGCGAGCGUUGUCCGGAAUUAUUGGGCGUACAGGGCUCGUAGGCGGGUUGUCGCGUCGGGAGUGAAAUCCACUGGCUUAACUGGUGGCUUGCUUUCGAUACGGGCAGACUGGAGGUAUGCAGGGGAGAACGGAAUUCCUGGUGUAGCGGUGAAAUGCGCAGAUAUCAGGAGGAACACCGGUGGCGAAGGCGGUUCUCUGGGCAUGUCCUGACGCUGAGGAGCGAAAGUGUGGGGAGCGAACAGG